UACGAAGGGGGCUAGCGUUGCUCGGAAUCACUGGGCGUAAAGGGUGCGUAGGCGGCUCUUUAAGUCAGGGGUGAAAUCCUGGAGCUCAACUCCAGAACUGCCUUUGAUACUGAAGAUCUUGAGUUCGGGAGAGGUGAGUGGAACUGCGAGUGUAGAGGUGAAAUUCGUAGAUAUUCGGAAGAACACCAGUGGCGAAGGCGGCUCACUGGCCCGGUACUGACGCUGAGGUGCGAAAGCGUGGGGAGCAAACAGG
rnacentral:rRNA from 1 species